rnacentral:rRNA from 1 species
CAGUCGCCGCGGUAAUACGGAGGGAGCUAGCGUUGUUCGGAAUUACUGGGCGUAAAGCGUGCGUAGGUGGUGGUUUAAGUCCGUUGUGAAAGCCCUGGGCUCAACCUGGGAAUUGCAGUGGAUACUGGGUCACUAGAGUGUGGUAGAGGAUAGUGGAAUUUCCGGUGUAGCAGUGAAAUGCGUAGAGAUCGGAAGGAACAUCUGUGGCGAAGGCGACUAUCUGGGCCAACACUGACACUGAGGCACGAAAGCGUGGGGAGCAAACAGGAUUAGAUACCCCUGUAGUCCCUGUCUCUUAUAC